UACGUAGGACCCAAGCGUUAUCCGGAAUUACUGGGCGUAAAGAGUUGCGUAGGUGGCAAGGUAAGCGAAGUGUGAAACCUUACGGCUCAACCGUAAGUCUAUGCUUUGAACUGCCUAGCUAGAGUAUGGGAGAGGUAGCUGGAAUUCCUAGUGUAGGAGUGAAAUCCGUAGAUAUUAGGAGGAACACCGAUGGCGUAGGCAGGCUACUGGCCCAUUACUGACACUAAGGCACGAGAGCGUGGGGAGCGAACGGG
rnacentral:misc_RNA from 1 species